GAUCCUCUGACUUAGGAAGUUCUACUGCCGAGGGACGUCCUUCGCGCUGCACCGUCCAUCAGCCAUCGAACGAUACGAGCAGAAACUACAGCCUGCGCCAGCUUUCUCGCUUGGGUGGGCAGAAGUAAGCGGCCCAUCGGCCCAGUCCGACGCUAGCGAGAGGGAGACGAGGGAAGCGAGGGAAAAAGGCGCGAGAGGCCACAGAAACGGCGCCAAAGUUGAUCGGAAGGAGAUCCCCGGCGCUCAGCGGGGACGGUGCUCUGCUCCUCAAUCUCACUAGCCUGCUGAACUCGGAUCAGGCAUCCCUUUUUCUGAUGAAAGAAGCAGCCUGCUGAACUCGGAUCAGGCAUCCCUUUUUCUGAUGAAAGAAGCAGCUUGCUGAACUCUGAUCAAGCAUUCCUUCUUCUAAUGGAAGAAGUAACAGAGAGGGAAGAAGAGGCUGAUACACUGCACCAUGAUUCCAAUUCUAAUAAGUAUUUUUCUUAUCCCAAGUAGACUGAUUUUACUUGAUUUUAUUCUUAUCCCAAUUACUGCUACUCUUUGCUUAUUCCCUUACAGAAAUCUUUUUCCAGUACUAUUAGUCCCAAUAUUUUGUAUGCACUUCCACAAGUCUAAUAUUCAUUUCAUUUACAUUACAGAGUUGUAUUGCCUAGUUUGGUACCUCUUGUUGGCAUGUAAUUUAGAAAUUCAGAUGAGGCUUGGGCAUUUUGGCUUACCUACAGUGGACAGAAAGGAUCUGAGGUCAGAAAAAGGUAUACAAACAAGAGGCCAACCGAUGGCAAAGUUACAUCAUGUAGAUUUGUUUGUGCAUGUAGUGGUGCUGGACAAGUUGCAGAUGUUAUAGUUUACAAGGACAAUGGAAAAGAGUCUCAAGAUUACAAGAACAAUCUCAGCUUCACUCAACUGUUGAUGGUAAUUUUGCCCAUAUAGAGAUGGUAUUUUUUCAAUAACAACUUAUUUAUUUAAUUUACAGGGACCAAUCACAGAUGAUCUAUUUACUGGGUCGUGGUGAAGCACUACUGUUUUGGGGCAAUCAUGUGCUCUAUACUUGAAUGAGAGCACAAACAAGCAUGGUUUUGGCAGAUUUGGGCAUUCAGUUCAGUUCAGUUACCUUUUGGCCAUUCGGUUCAGUUCUAGGUUCUAAGAUAAUACUCCAAUUUAUGUAUGCACGCUCAUUGUACAUUCGGCAGCCAAAGCAAGCAUUAUGACUUGCAAGUGAUUGUAUUCCUGGAAGGACAUGCUCUCAAAUUGUCAACAUGUGUUAUCCUCUUUAA